UACGUAGGGUGCGAGCGUUGUCCGGAAUUAUUGGGCGUAAAGAGCUUGUAGGCGGUUUGUCGCGUCUGCCGUGAAAGCCCAGGCUUAACCCUGGGUCUGCGGUGGGUACGGGCAGACUAGAGUGUGGUAGGGGAGACUGGAAUUCCUGGUGUAGCGGUGAAAUGCGCAGAUAUCAGGAGGAACACCGAUGGCGAAGGCAGGUCUCUGGGCCACUACUGACGCUGAGAAGCGAAAGCAUGGGGGAGCAAACAGG
rnacentral:rRNA from 1 species